UACGUAGGGGACAAGCGUUGUCCGGAUUUACUGGGCGUAAAGAGCGCGCAGGCGGUCGAUCAAGUCGAGUGUGAAAGCCCCCGGCUCAACUGGGGAGGGUCAUUCGAUACUGAUCGACUCGAAGGCAGGAGAGGGUAGUGGAAUUCCCGGUGUAGUGGUGAAAUGCGUAGAUAUCGGGAGGAACACCAGUGGCGAAGGCGACUACCUGGCCUGUUCUUGACGCUGAGGCGCGAAAGCUAGGGGAGCAAACGGGG
rnacentral:rRNA from 1 species